rnacentral:tRNA from 1 species
GCUUGGAUAGUUUAUUUUAAAAUGUUGGUUUGUGGGGCCAGCGAUGUAUUUCUUACUUCAGGUU